rnacentral:rRNA from 1 species
GUGGAUUAGAUACCCUGGUAGUCCACGCCCUAAACGUUGGAUACUAGAUGUUGGCGAUAUAAUGUCAGCGUCGUAGCGAAAGCGUUAAGUAUCCCACCUGGGGAGUACGCUCGCAAGGGUGAAACUCAAAGGAAUUGACGGGGGCCCGCACAAGCGGAGGAGUAUGUGGUUUAAUUCGAUGCUACGCGAAGAACCUUACCUAGGCUAGAAUGUGCGAGAAGACAGGAGAAAUUCUGUUGUCCUUCGGGACUCAAAACAAGGUGUUGCACGGCUGUCGACAACU